rnacentral:rRNA from 1 species
AGUGAACGCUGGCGGUAUGCCUAACACAUGCAAGUCGAACGGCAGCACAGUAAGAGCUUGCUCUUACGGGUGGCGAGUUGCGUACGGCGGGGGAAUACAUCGGAGUCUACUUUUUCGUGGGGGAUAAAGUAGGGAAACUUACGCUAAUACCGCAUACGACCUACGUGUGAAAGCAGGGGAUCUUCGGACCUUGUGCGCUUGCAGGCGCCGAUGUCGGAUUAGCUAGUUGGCGGGGUAAAGGCCUACCAAGGCGACGAUCCGUAGCCGAUCUGCGAGGAUGAACAGCGACAGUGGAACUGAGACACGGUACAGACUCCUAGGGGAGGCAGAAGUGGGGAAGAUUGGAAAAUGGGCGCAAGCCUGAUCCAGCCAUACCGGGUGGGUGAAGCAGGCCUUCGGGUUGGAAAGCCGUUUUGUUGGGAAAGAAAAGUAGCAGGUUAAUACCACGGUGUUGUGACGGUACCCAAAGAAUAAGCACCGGCUAACUUCGUG